rnacentral:rRNA from 1 species
UACGAAGGGGGCUAGCGUUGCUCGGAAUCACUGGGCGUAAAGCGCACGUAGGCGGAUUCUUAAGUCAGGGGUGAAAUCCUGGAGCUCAACUCCAGAACUGCCUUUGAUACUGAGGGUCUUGAGUUCGGGAGAGGUGAGUGGAACUGCGAGUGUAGAGGUGAAAUUCGUAGAUAUUCGCAAGAACACCAGUGGCGAAGGCGACCUCUUGGACAGAUACUGACGCUGAGACGCGAAAGCGUGGGUAGCAAACAGG